AUACGGAGGGUGCAAGCGUUAAUCGGAAUUACUGGGCGUAAAGCGUACGUAGGCGGUUUAUUAAGUCAGAUGUGAAAGCCCCGGGCUUAACCUGGGAACUGCAUUUGAAACUAGUAGACUAGAGUAUGGUAGAGGGGGGUAGAAUUCCUAGUGUAGCGGUGAAAUGCGUAGAUAUUAGGAGGAAUACCAGUGGCGAAGGCGGCCCCCUGGACCAAUACUGACGCUGAGGUACGAAAGCGUGGGGAGCGAACAGGAUUAGAUACCCCAGUAGUCC
rnacentral:rRNA from 1 species